UGAUUUAGCGGCGGACGGGUGAGUAACACGUGGGUAAUCUGCCUGUAAGACGGGGAUAACUCCGGGAAACCGGGGCUAAUACCGGAUAAUAAGAGAAGAAGCAUUUCUUCUUUUUGAAAGUCGGUUUCGGCUGACACUUACAGAUGAGCCCGCGGCGCAUUAGCUAGUUGGUGAGGUAACGGCUCACCAAGGCGACGAUGCGUAGCCGACCUGAGAGGGUGAUCGGCCACACUGGGACUGAGACACGGCCCAGACUCCUACGGGAGGCAGCAGUAGGGAAUCUUCGGCAAUGGGCGAAAGCCUGACCGAGCAACGCCGCGUGAGCGAUGAAGGCCUUCGGGUCGUAAAGCUCUGUUGUUAGAGAAGAACAAGUACGAGAGUAACUGCUCGUACCUUGACGGUACCUAACCAGAAAGCCACGGCUAACUACGUGCCAGCAGCCGCGGUAAUACGUAGGUGGCAAGCGUUAUCCGGAAUUAUUGGGCGUAAAGCGCGCGCAGGCGGUCUCUUAAGUCUGAUGUGAAAGCCCACGGCUCAACCGUGGAGGGUCAUUGGAAACUGGGAGACUUGAGUGCAGGAGAGAAAAGUGGAAUUCCACGUGUAGCGGUGAAAUGCGUAGAGAUGUGGAGGAACACCAGUGGCGAAGGCGGCUUUUUGGCCUGUAACUGACGCUGAGGCGCGAAAGCGUGGGGAGCAAACAGGAUUAGAUACCCCUGGUAGUCCACGCCGUAAACGAUGAGUGCUAUGUGUUUGGGGGGGGUUCCACCCCUCAG
rnacentral:rRNA from 1 species